UAGUCAUAUGCUUGUCUCAAAGAUUAAGCCAUGCAUGUCUAAGUAUAAGCUUGUUUAUACGGCGAGACUGCGGAUGGCUCAUUAAAUCAGUUAUAGUUUAUUUGAUGGUCUCUUUUGUCUUUUUUUACCUACUUGGAUAACCGUGGUAAUUCUAGAGCUAAUACAUGCGCAAGGUCCCGAGCGCGGGGGGCAGGGCUUCACGGCCCUGUCCUCGCAUGCGCAGAGGGAUGUAUUUAUUAGGUUAAAAACCAGCGGCAGGGGUCAGCAAUGGCCCCU
rnacentral:rRNA from 1 species